GACGAACGCUGGCGGCGUGCUUAACACAUGCAAGUCGAGCGGAAAGGCCCUUCGGGGUACUCGAGCGGCGAACGGGUGAGUAACACGUGAGUAACCUGCCCCAGACUUUGGGAUAACCCUCGGAAACGGGGGCUAAUACCGGAUACGACACAGCUUCGCAUGGGGUCUGUGUGGAAAGUUUUUCGGUUUGGGAUGGGCUCGCGGCCUAUCAGCUUGUUGGUGGGGUGAUGGCCUACCAAGGCGACGACGGGUAGCCGGCCUGAGAGGGCGACCGGCCACACUGGGACUGAGACACGGCCCAGACUCCUACGGAAGGCAGCAGUGGGGAAUAUUGCACAAUGGGCGGAAGCCUGAUGCAGCGACGCCGCGUGAGGGAUGACGGCCUUCGGGUUGUAAACCUCUUUCAGCAGGGACGAAGCGUAAGUGACGGUACCUGCAGAAGAAGCGCCGGCCAACUACGUG
rnacentral:rRNA from 1 species